rnacentral:lncRNA from 1 species
AGCUGUGGCAGCCAUGUCAUAAAAACAAUUGAAUGUACAAACUUAAGCUAUUUGUCUAAGUUGUUUUGUUUUCCUGUAGUAAAAUUUCUGUGGCUGUGUAUAAUCCAUAGUAAUGUUAAACAUUAUCAGCACAUUGAAUUUUGGAGCAAGCAUUCAUAAUUUUAUAAACAAAGCGUCCUCUAUCUUCGUACGCCAUUUUCCUGAAGACAUUCAGAAACGAACUAAGAAAAAAAGGGGAGCAAGUUUAUCAGAAGAUCGGCAAACACUUGGAAGGUAUGGAAGACCUAAUUGCAGGCUUUAAUAUGGGAAUACUAUAACUGAAAAUUCCAACAAGCUACUGCAUUUUGAGACCUCGAUUUUGCAUUCAAUUUUGUUUGAAUUUUUAAAAAUAGCCAAAUACUGAUAAAUGUAAAUUUUAUGUGCUGCUUAUGAAGACUUUUUUGGAAUGUGUUACUCAUAAUUUUAGGUUUCAAUCAUGUUUGUUUGAUAGAAAACACACAUCCAAAGUCUUUCAAACAGCCUUGCACUUAUUGGUGAAUAUUCUUUGCAUUUUUAGUCUUAUGUGCUAUAUUUUUGUUGUGCAGUAAUAAGGAUUUUGUGGACCAAUGUUUGUUACUUACAAAAACUUGUGUGUUUAUUCGUCUAGCAUAUGACUGCUAAAGAAAAGGAGCCUUUCAGAAAACAAGCCCAAAUAGAUAGCAACCGUUACAAGUUAGAGAUGCGACGGGGGAAUGAAAAUUUUCCCAAAAGACCUAUGACGGCAUUCUUCUUCUGUUGUGCAGAGGAAAGACCCAAGCUACAGACAUCUAAUCCUGGCAUGACAUUCGGAUGGCAGACACUGGCAGAAACUUCAAGACCGUUCCAUAUUUGAGGAGAUAGCUACUGAAGAUAACUUGAGAUUCUGGAAUGUUGGUUUCACAGAUUGCUAAUUGAAUUCUAAGAGAUUACACAAACUCAGAUGGACCACGAAGACCACCUGUGGACACGUGUUUGGAGUGAGCUGACGGUCCAGUCGGCAGAGGUGUGGGAUGACAAGACAAACUGCGGGCAAUGAGAUCGACACCCGUUCAAAGAACCCAUUGAAACGUGAACUGCUUCAGAAUGUGCCUCACCUGGAAAUGACGGACUAGACCUGUAGAGACCUUUCAUUGCCAUGCUGUGCAUUAACUGCAGGUCGUCUGCUCCCAGGUAUCGCAUGUACAGCACGUGCACACCUUGUCAUUUCUGCGCUAAUACCCUCUCCUCCCUCCCCGCAGGCUGUUGUACAGCAACCGUUACACCCCACAACCUCUUUACCUGACAUCAGCCACCUCACCCGCUCCAACAUAGCUCCACCUCACCUCAGUCCUCUAGCUUUGCCCUUUUUCCUUCCACCCUUCCUCUUGCCUCCAUUCAGCUCCACCCCUCUCCAGCCCAGCGUGUCCGGACAUCAGUCCUAUAGACGAGACGCGAGGAUGUUCUCCGCCUGGUGGAGUUUCCUGAACACACAACUCACAGACAUACAGAUCUGUCUCGCGGCUUAUCUUUCUACUGUUGUUAGAUGUACCACGGGCGAGCGCCUUUGACUUGUUACAAACCUGUCCGUGGGCCCAGAUGCACAGACCGGCACUAGGCGCUAGCUGUAUGGCUCAGGCGUAGGAAUACCCUGCAAGGCUAACAUUACGGUUUAGCUAACUACCACGACUUAGCUACGCACCUGGCAUCCCCAAUGCGCAGUCUCUCCCUCACCAUCUUCAUCUUUUAGUCUCCCACCAUCGUGUUGUUUGUUUGCAUGUUUUUACCAAAGAAUAGACUCGAAAUGUUUCUCCGAAGGCUCGAUUUCACCAUAUUUUGUUGUAGUUCACGAUAACGAUUAACAAGUUUAAGAUCCAUUUUGAAAAAGAAUAUAACUUUCAUAU